CCCAGGUCGAUGCUUUGCUGUGUUUCGAGGGAGGAGGAGCGAUGGUCGGACUCCUCUGAGCGACCCAGCGCCUUCCCGGGCAGUGGCUUCCUGACGGAGGGACGAGGAAGAAGCAAGCGUCAGCAGGUCACGCCACGCCCCCACUCACCUUGGUCAUGAUGGUGCGGUGAAGGGAGAGGAACUCGUUGUAGCGGCGUAGCACGAACCAGCAUCUCUUCACGUCCUCCACCACCACCUUGAACACCUGCAGGAAAGACAGCCACAUCAGCAAGUAACGCUCAGUGAAGUGCAAAAGAGGAGCGCCGCGGAGUGGCUUGCUGUGUGAAUAGAAAUAAUGAAACGCAGGGCCCACCAGCGAGCAGUGCGUCAGGCUGGUGAUGUGAGCUAGUCCCCAGCCACCGCCGCCCGGUGCCUCGCCUCGCCCCCUGCAGGAUGCCACGGACGGCUGACUCCCUGAAGUGGGGCGCAGCGACGAGCGGGUUCAUGCUGACCCGACUGGUUGUCCUGCUGGUGGUGGUGGUGGUGGUGGUGGUGGGUAAGGAGGAAGACUAGAGUGUUUAGUGGCUCGGUUGUCCUAUGCAGGUGUUUUUUUCGUCUUUUCUAGUGGUAAGGAAAUGUUAAGUUUUUCAUUUACCAUUUUUCAGAGUCUGAGUGUUUUUAAAUUCUUUGUUUUCCUGUAUGGGAGAGACAAUCAAGGGACCUUUUUUUAUUCCUUAUUUUUCCCCUUCGUUGUCUCGCUUGCUCAUAAGUAAA